rnacentral:rRNA from 1 species
UACGAAGGGGGCUAGCGUUGUUCGGAAUUACUGGGCGUAAAGCGUGCGCAGGCGGCCUUCCAAGUCAGGGGUGAAAGCCCAGAGCUCAACUCUGGAAUUGCCUUUGAGACUGUGAGGCUUGAGUACGGGAGAGGUGAGUGGAAUUCCCAGUGUAGAGGUGAAAUUCGUAGAUAUUGGGAAGAACACCGGUGGCGAAGGCGGCUCACUGGCCCGAAACUGACGCUCAUGCACGACAGCGUGGGGAUCAAUCAGG